rnacentral:rRNA from 1 species
GACACCUUAAUCCAACAUCGAGGUCGCAAACCCUUCUUUCAAUGUGAACUCUCCAGAAAGAUUACGCUGUUAUCCCUGUGGUAACUUUUUCCGAUAAUCAACAAUGCUGGAUCACUUGUUAGUAAACCAAAAUUCUACAAGUUAACAGAGAAGCUUUUCAUGUUCCCUAGUCACCCCAACUAAAGAUGUAAGAAUAAAUUUAAAAUCCUCUAUUCUAAUAGAAACAACCCCUUUAUUCCACACUAAAGCUCAACAGGGUCUUCUCGUCCCUCAGCUAAAUCUAAGCCUUUUCACUUAGAAGUUAAUUUUUAAAUAUUCCAGGAGAGACAGCUCAGCCCUCGUCAAACCAUUCAUACCAGCCUCCAAUUAAAAGGCAAGUGAUUGUGCUACCUUUGCACGGUCAGUGUACCGCGGCCGUUU